UAGGGAAUAUUGCACAAUGGGCGAAAGCCUGAUGCAGCAACGCCGCGUGCGCGAUGAAGGCCUUCGGGUCGUAAAGCGCUUUUCGGGGAGAUGAGGAAGGACAGUAUCCCCGGAAUAAGUCUCGGCUAACUACGUGCCAGCAGCCGCGGUAACACGUAGGAGGCAAGCGUUAUCCGAAUUUACUGGGCGUAAAGCGCGUGCAGGCGGUUCAGUAAGUUGGAUGUGAAAUCUCCCGGCUCAACCGGGAGAGGUCGUUCAAUACUGUCGGACUAGAGGAUGGUAGAGGGAGGUGGAAUUCCCGGUGUAGUGGUGAAAUGCGUAGAUAUCGGGAGGAACACCAGUGGCGAAGGCGGCCUCCUGGACCAUUCCUGACGCUCAGACGCGCAAGCUAGGGGAGCGAACGG
rnacentral:rRNA from 1 species